rnacentral:rRNA from 1 species
CAGUCGCCACGGUAACACGGAGGGCGCGAGCGUUACCCGGAUUUACUGGGCGUAAAGGGCGUGUAGGCGGCCUGGGGCGUCCCAUGUGAAAGGCCACGGCUCAACCGUGGAGGAGCGUGGGAUACGCUCAGGCUAGAGGGUGGGAGAGGGUGGUGGAAUUCCCGGAGUAGCGGUGAAAUGCGCAGAUACCGGGAGGAACGCCGAUGGCGAAGGCAGCCACCUGGUCCACUUCUGACGCUGAGGCGCGAAAGCGUGGGGAGCAAACCGGAUUAGAUACCCGCGUAGUCCCUGUCUCUUAUAC